rnacentral:rRNA from 1 species
UACAGAGGUCCCAAGCGUUGUUCGGAUUUACUGGGCGUAAAGGGUGCGUAGGUGGCGGGGUAAGUCGGAUGUGAAAUCUCCAGGCUCAACCUGGAAAUGGCAUUGGAAACUACCUUGCUGGAAGAGUUGGAGGGGGGACUGGAAUACUUGGUGUAGCAGUGAAAUGCGUAGAUAUCAAGUGGAACACCAGUGGCGAAGGCGAGUCCCUGGACAACUUCUGACGCUGAGGCACGAAAGCUAGGGGAGCAAACAGG